GAACGCUGGCGGCGUGCCUAAUACAUGCAAGUCGAGCGGAGAUCAUGGAGCUUGCUCCAUGAUCUUAGCGGCGGACGGGUGAGUAACACGUGGGCAACCUGCCCUGCAGAUCGGGAUAACUCCGGGAAACCGGUGCUAAUACCGAAUAGUUUGCGGCCUCUCAUGAGGCUGCACGGAAAGACGGUUUCGGCUGUCACUGCAGGAUGGGCCCGCGGCGCAUUAGCUAGUUGGUGAGGUAACGGCUCACCAAGGCCACGAUGCGUAGCCGACCUGAGAGGGUGAUCGGCCACACUGGGACUGAGACACGGCCCAGACUCCUACGGGAGGCAGCAGUAGGGAAUCUUCCGCAAUGGACGAAAGUCUGACGGAGCAACGCCGCGUGAGUGAAGAAGGUUUUCGGAUCGUAAAACUCUGUUGUGAGGGAAGAACAAGUACCAAGUAACUACUGGUACCUUGACGGUACCUCACCAGAAAGCCACGGCUAACUACGUGCCAGCAGCCGCGGUAAUACGUAGGUGGCAAGCGUUGUCCGGAAUUAUUGGGCGUAAAGCGCGCGCAGGCGGUCCUUUAAGUCUGAUGUGAAAGCCCACGGCUCAACCG
rnacentral:rRNA from 1 species